AGGUUUGGAGAGACGGAUGCUUCAUUCUUGACCUUCGUUUGUCGGAGCCACCAGUCUUCAGAUCCGGUUAAUUGCAACCUGGUGUGUCUCGACUCCGAGCUGCCGGAUCGGAGAAGACAAGAAGAACAAAAAGACGGAGAGAGGGAGUCAGAGGUGAGCCAGCUGAUCUCUGGAUUACAUUAAAAUUCUUCCCGUGUCACACUCACACACACUCUAGCGGGAAUCUCACAGGGUGACCUGGGAUUUUGGAGCGGAGGGGUCAAGGCCACGGAUCAUUAUCUGCUCUCGGCCAAGCGUCAGGAGGGGAUAACGGGGCCUCCCGGGGCUCCCAGGGGCCCAGGAGCUGAGUGAGUCAGCAUUCCAGGUCCAUUCCUCUCACUCUGCACCCUGACAGCCCGACGGACAGGCCCGGUCCCCAAACGCCCGCAGAAAUAGCCCUCUUUGCUUCAUUUUCGGUCUGCACAAUGCCACAAAGGCCUGAUGGGACGAGGCUGGAGUCCUUCAGCUUUGUCUCGACUCCGCCGGUGUGUUUUUGCUUGUCACACCGCCGUCUGAGCUGUGUUUCCUUUGGAAGAAAUCCCACUUCAGAGGCUCCUCUGGAGAAGACGUCGGUUUCCUGUCGCCGCAUACCAACGGUGACCCCUUACACUGAUCACUCUGCACUCUUUUUUUAAUGUAGAAACGUCUUGAUGUGGAUUCUGGAUGAACUUUGAGUCUUUGAGUUCACAACAGUCAACAUUGUCCCCUCAGAGCUCAUCAUAGUGAUGUUUCAGCAAGGUGAUUUAUUUCUAUUAAUGGGUGUUUUUACACAUAACCUGUUUGUGAAAGCCGACUGAACAACCAGACUGGGAACACCUGAAAUACAGACUGGUUUCAGUCAGACUCUGCUGCAGUUUGUGGUGUGAAAGCAAAGCAGACCAAACACAGUAUUUUAUGAUUUUAGCAUGAAAUUCCAGCUAAACUAUUAAAUCCCUCUUCUGCUCAUGAACUGUCAAGAUCCUUCAAACCAUCACACGGUAACGUACUUUAUCUGGACUCAAUAAACCCAACUACAGGCGUGUCAAAGACCUGUUCUGAGAAAAAAUUAUUACAUUAUUUAAAAAAACUAUUAAAGUUAAGUCCAGUAGAAAUCAA